rnacentral:rRNA from 1 species
GAAUUCACUAGUGAUUGUAGUCAUAUGGUUGUCUCAAAGAUUAAGCCAUGCAUGUCUAAGUAUAAGCAAUUUAUACAGUGAAACUGCGAAUGGCUCAUUAAAUCAGUUAUCGUUUAUUUGAUAGUUCCUUUACUACAUGGUAUAACUGUGGUAAUUCUAGAGCUAAUACAUGCUUAAAAUCUCGACCCUUUGGAAGAGAUGUAUUUAUUAGAUAAAAAAUCAAUGUCUUCGGACUCUUUGAUGAUUCAUAAUAACUUUUCGAAUCGCAUGGCCUUGUGCUGGCGAUGGUUCAUUCAAAUUUCUGCCCUAUCAACUUUCGAUGGUAGGAUAGUGGCCUACCAUGGUUUCAACGGGUAACGGGGAAUAAGGGUUCGAUUCCGGAGAGGGAGCCUGAGAAACGGCUACCACAUCCAAGGAAGGCAGCAGGCGCGCAAAUUACCCAAUCCUAAUUCAGGGAGGUAGUGACAAUAAAUAACGAUACAGGGCCCAUUCGGGUCUUGUAAUUGGAAUGAGUACAAUGUAAAUACCUUAACGAGGAACAAUUGGAGGGCAAGUCUGGUGCCAGCAGCCGCGGUAAUUCCAGCUCCAAUAGCGUAUAUUAAAGUUGUUGCAGUCAAAAAGCUCGUAGUUGAACUUUGGGCCCGGUUGGCCGGUCCGAUUUUUUCGUGUACUGGAUUUCCAACGGGGCCUUUCCUUCUGGCUAACCUUGAGUCCUUGUGGCUCUUGGCGAACCGGGACUUUUACUUUGAAAAAAUUAGAGUGUUCAAAGCAGGCGUAUUGCUCGAAUAUAUUAGCAUGGAAUAAUAGAAUAGGACGUUUGGUUCUAUUUUGUUGGUUUCUAGGACCAUCGUAAUGAUUAAUAGGGACG